CGCGUAGGCGGACCUUCAAGUCGGAUGUGAAACCCGGCGGCUUAACUGCCGGCCUGCAUUCGAUACUGUUGGUCUUGAGUACAUGAGAGGAAGGCGGAAUUCCAGGUGUAGCGGUGAAAUGCGUAGAUAUCUGGAAGAACACCAGUAGCGAAGGCGGCCUUCUGGCGUGAUACUGACGCUGAAGCGCGAAGGCUAGGGGAGCAAACA
rnacentral:rRNA from 1 species